UUGAUAUGUGUGCUAAAAGUCAUAUAUUUAUAUUCCUUGUGAGAAGGGCUUUCUUUUAAUAUAUCACAAGGUAUGGUUAAUUACAAAGAAAUAUUUUCGUCAGAUUAUUUUGAUUAUUUAAAGGACAAUGGUGGCCAUUUUGAAAUUGACGGCCAUUUUAAAAAUGCCACAAGGCAUGAUAUCACUAUAUGUAGAAUCCCUGUGAGACGAGCUUUCAUUUGAUAUGUCACAUGGCAUAAUUAU